GAUGAACGCUGGCGGCGUGCCUAAUACAUGCGAGUCGAGCGAACAGACGAGGAGCUUGCUCCUCUGACGUUAGCGGCGGACGGGUGAGUAACACGUGGAUAACCUACCUAUAAGACUGGGAUAACUUCGGGAAACCGGAGCUAAUACCGGAUAAUAUAUUGAACCGCAUGGUUCAAUAGUGAAAGACGGUUUUGCUGUCACUUAUAGAUGGAUCCGCGCCGCAUUAGCUAGUUGGUAAGGUAACGGCUUACCAAGGCGACGAUGCGUAGCCGACCUGAGAGGGUGAUCGGCCACACUAGAACUGAGACACGGUCCAGACUCCUACGGGAGGCAGCAGUAGGGAAUCUUCCGCAAUGGGCGAAAGCCUGACGGAGCAACGCCGCGUGAGUGAUGAAGGUCUUCGGAUCGUAAAACUCUGUUAUUAGGGAAGAACAAAUGUGUAAGUAACUAUGCACGUCUUGACGGUACCUAAUCAGAAAGCCACGGCUAACUACGUG
rnacentral:rRNA from 1 species